AUUGAACGCUGGCGGCAUGCCUUACACAUGCAAGUCGAACGGUAACGGGCCUUCGGGUGCCGACGAGUGGCGAACGGGUGAGUAAUACAUCGGAACGUGCCCGAUCGUGGGGGAUAACGAGGCGAAAGCUUUGCUAAUACCGCAUACAAUCUACGGAUGAAAGCAGGGGACCGCAAGGCCUUGCGCGGACGGAGCGGCCGAUGGCAGAUUAGGUAGUUGGUGGGAUAAAAGCUUACCAAGCCGACGAUCUGUAGCUGGUCUGAGAGGAUGAUCAGCCACACUGGGACUGAGACACGGCCCAGACUCCUACGGGAGGCAGCAGUGGGGAAUUUUGGACAAUGGGCGCAAGCCUGAUCCAGCCAUGCCGCGUGCAGGAUGAAGGCCUUCGGGUUGUAAACUGCUUUUGUACGGAACGAAAAGCCUUCUUUUAAUACAGGAGGGUCAUGACGGUACCGUAAGAAUAAGCACCGGCUAACUACGUG
rnacentral:rRNA from 1 species